rnacentral:rRNA from 1 species
AUUGAACGCUGGCGGAAUGCUUUACACAUGCAAGUCGAACGGCAGCACGGACUUCGGUCUGGUGGCGAGUGGCGAACGGGUGAGUAAUGUAUCGGAACGUGCCAAGUCGUGGGGGUUAACGUUGUGACAUGCACGCUAAUACAGCAUACGACCUAGGGGUGAAAGCGGGGGACCGCAAGACCUCGAGUGAUUGGAGCGGCCGAUGGCAGAUUAGGUAGUUGGUGGGUUAAAGGCCCACCAAGCCAAUGAUCUGUAGCUGGUUUGAGAGGACGACCAGCCACACUGGAACUGAGACACGGUCCAGACUCCUACGGGAGGCAGCAGUGGGGAAAUUUGGACAAUGGGCGAAAGCCCGAUCCAGCCAUGCCGCGUGCAGGAUGAAGGCCCGCGGGUUGUAAACUGCUUUUGUACAGAACGAAAAGGUUUCUACUAAUACUAGGAGCUCAUGACGGGACUGUAAGAAUAAGCACCGGCUAACUACGUGCCAGCCGCCGCAGUAA